CACCUUUUUUAAGGAUUUGAUGUCAGAACAUGGAUUGAAGUUAAAGGACAUUAUGAUAGAGAUAGUAAAAUGUUCUCGAGUUGAAAGCCAGAAAAGAAAGAAGUUUGAGGUAUAAGGAAUGUAUCAAUGCGUAAAUCGCAAGAAACGAAUAAAAACUUUGUAAACUUAA